rnacentral:lncRNA from 1 species
AACAGUUUAAAUGGACAACCAAGUUCGAAUCUAUUUAUUAUAGGUCAAACACAGACCAGAUUGAUGUAUUGGACCACAUUUUAUCAGCCUUGCUUUAAUCCCAAGGCCGGCUACAUAAAUUUAUUUAAGUACCCGCAUAUGGCCCAACAUUAUUCUUCGCAAGACGGCCCAACCCACGUAUCCACUCUAGAUCGACCAAUCAAAAAUUGACACGAAUUCCUUGAAACAUGACGUCUCGUUUUUUAAAAGAAC